GAAAACUACGAGCAGAAGCUUAAAACUCAAAGGAUUUGGCGGCGCUUUAAAUUCCCUAGAGGAGCUUGUCCUGUAAUCGAUAAUCCCCGCUAAACCUUACCUUCUCUUGCCUUCAGCCUAUAUACCGCCGUCGUCAGCCCACCCUCUGAAGAUCUAAUAGUAGGCGAGAUCGGCCCAGCCCCAAACGUCAGGUCAAGGUAUAGCAUACGAGAAGAGAAGAGAUGAGCUACAUUCCCUAACCAGGGUUACGGAAAAUCUAUUGAAAAACAGAUUUAAAGUAGAAUUUAGCAGUAAGUAAAAAAUAGAGUGUUUUACUGAAGUUAAAAUUAAUGCGUGCACACACCGCCCGUCGCUCUCUCCUAACUUUAACUUAAAUUAUAAAUAAACCCCUAUAACUCUUAAAGGAGAGAAAAGUCGUAACAUGGUAAGUGUACUGGAAAGUGCGCUUGGUUAAA
rnacentral:rRNA from 1 species